ensembl:snRNA U2 U2 spliceosomal RNA
AUCGCUUCUCAGCCUUUGGGCUAAGAUCAAGUGCAGUAUCUGUUCUUUGCAGCUUAAUAGUUAACUUUCGAGCAGCUACUGACACUUUUGGUGUGGCAUCUUACUCUGGGGGGACCAUGAUGGAAGGGACACUGAUGCGUCCUCGCUGUAACAGACGUUUACGCUGGACUCAAA